AAAAAGUUAAUUUGGAUAAGUUAGCUCAAAGAUAUUAAAGUUUAAAGAAGUUGCCUUAUUCAAGAUUUGUUAAUUAGUUAGGUGGUUGGUACCACACGUGAGUGGCCACAACUACAAUUGCUUUUCCAUUAUAUUCUAUCUUAUCUUAUUAGAAUAAUUAGUUAAUUCAAACUCCAAUUGGUGGUACACGUUUUCCAUUAUAACUCAACCACUUUUUAUUACUAUAAAUAUUAUACAUGGGUUUCAUAUUUCACCAUACCAAAAAAUUUACACACACGUGAAAGAGAAGAGAGAGAGAGGAUAUUUUUGGGAGUUAGAAGACAAAAAGCUAAUUUGCAACCAUUAUGCACUAAAAAUAGAGAAAAGAUUUUGGGCACGUGCUUUCAUAUUUUCAUUUUAUUAAACGAGGUAAGUACAUUUGUAUAAGUGUUUUCAUUUCCUUAUACUCUUAUAUUCAAUUAAAUAUGUAUGGAUUGCCAGUAGACUUUCGGGUUCUUUAAAAAGAGAGAUGAAAUC
rnacentral:lncRNA from 1 species